rnacentral:rRNA from 1 species
CAGUCGAGGGGCAGCGGAGAGAGUGCUUGCACUCUCUGCCGGCGACCGAGUGGGCUGAGUAACACGUAUGCAACCUGCCCGAUACUGGGGGAUAAUCCGGAGAAAUCCGGUCUAAUACCGCAUAACACCUCUUUGGGACAUCCCGGGGAGGUCAAAGGGAGCGAUUCCGGUAUCGGAUGGGCAUGCGGCGCAUUAGCUUGUUGGCGGGGUAACGGCCCACCAAGGCGACGAUGCGUAGGGGUUCUGAGAGGAAGGUCCCCCACACUGGUACUGAGACACGGACCAGACUCCUACGGGAGGCAGCAGUGAGGAAUAUUGGUCAAUGGGCGAGAGCCUGAACCAGCCAAGUCGCGUGAGGGAAGACGGUCCUAUGGAUUGUAAACCUCUUUUGUCGGGGAGCAAGGUCAGGUACGUGUACCUGAUCUGAGAGUACCCGAAGAAAAAGCAUCGGCUAACUCCGUGCCAGCAGCCGCGGUAAUACGGAGGAUGCGAGCGUUAUCCGGAUUUAUUGGGUUUAAAGGGUGCGUAGGCGGACGGUCAAGUCAGCGGUAAAAUUGAGAGGCUCAACCUCUUCGAGCCGUUGAAACUGGCCAUCUUGAGUGGGCGAGAAGUAUGCGGAAUGCGUGGUGUAGCGGUGAAAUGCAUAGAUAUCGCGCAGAACUCCGAUUGCGAAGGCAGCAUACCGGCGCCCUACUGACGCUGAAGCACGAAAGCGUGGGGAUCAAACAGGAUUAGAUACCCUGGUAGUCCACGCCGUAAACGAUGAAUGCUAAUUGUUCGGCGAGAAAGCUUGCUGAGUGAUAAAGCGAAAGCGUUAAGCAUUCCACCUGGGGAGUACGCCGGCAACGGUGAAACUCAAAGGAAUUGACGGGGGCCCGCACAAGCGGAGGAACAUGUGGUUUAAUUCGAUGAUACGCGAGGAACCUUACCCGGGCUCAAACGUAGAUGGAAUACAGGUGAAAGCCUGUAGCCCUUCGGGGCCGUCUACGAGUGCUGCAUGGUUGUCGUCAGCUCGUGCCGUGAGGUGUCGGCUUAAGUGCCAUACGGGCGCAACCCCCAUCGACAGUUGCUAACAGGCAAAGCUGA